rnacentral:rRNA from 1 species
GUGGGGAAUCUUGCGCAAUGGGCGAAAGCCUGACGCAGCCAUGCCGCGUGAAUGAUGAAGGUCUUAGGAUUGUAAAAUUCUUUCACCGGGGACGAUAAUGACGGUACCCGGAGAAGAAGCUCCGGCUAACUUCGUGCCAGCAGCCGCGGUAAUACGAAGGGGGCUAGCGUUGCUCGGACUUACUGGGCGUAAAGGGCGCGUAGGCGGACAGCUUAGUCAGAGGUGAAAGCCCAGGGCUCAACCUUGGAAUUGCCUUUGAUACUGGCUGUCUUGAGUUUGGGAGAGGUGAGUGGAACUCCGAGUAUAGAGGUGAAAUUCGUAGAUAUUCGGAAGAACACCAGUGGCGAAGGCGACUCACUGGCCCAAUACUGACGCUGAGGCGCGAAAGCGUGGGGAGCAAACAGGAUUAGAUACCCUAGUAGUCC